rnacentral:tRNA from 1 species
CGGCGCGCAUAGGCGAGGCUGGUCAUGCUGAUGUCGACCGCGAGCAGGCGCGCGUUCGGAUAGACCUGCGCGAUCUGGAUCGCGUGCGAGCCGG